UUCCAUGCAAAGCAGAUUCAUCAGCCAGCUCAAGCUCUCCAAACAAUUCCUUUGUCCUGGCCCUUCUCGGUCUGGGGGCUCGAUAUCCUCGGCCCUUUCCCCCGAGCCGUCGGGGGCUUUGAGUACUUGUACGUUGCAAUCGACAAGUUCACAAAGUGGCCAGAAGUGGAGCCAGUGAGAAAGGUGACAGCACAGUCAGCGGUCAGGUUCUUCAGGUCAAUUGUUUGCCGUUUCGGAAUCCCCAACAGGAUCAUCACCGACAACGGUACACAAUUUACUAGUCGCACCUUCAUGCAGUACGUCCAAGACCUUGGCGCCAAGGUCUGUUUCGCUUCUGUUGCUCACCCGAGGAGCAACGGUCAAGCGGAGAGGGCCAAUGCUGAAGUGCUGCGCGGACUCAAGACGAGGACCUUUGACAGGCUGCGCAAGUGCGGAAGAAAUUGGAUAGAGGAGCUACCGGCGGCUCUUUGGUCGAUCAGAACGACACCAAGUCGAGCCACCGGACAG
rnacentral:rRNA from 1 species